rnacentral:rRNA from 1 species
GACGAACGCUGGCGGCGUGCCUAAUACAUGCAAGUCGAACGCUUCUUUCCUCCCGAGUGCUUGCACUCCAUUGGAAAGAGGGGUGGCGGACGGGUGAGUAACACGUGGGUAACCUACCCAUCAGAGGGGGAUGACACUUGGAAACAGGUGCUAAUACCGCAUAACAGUUUAUGCCGCAUGGCAUAAGAGUGAAAGGCGCUUUCGGGUGUCGCUGAUGGAUGGACCCGCGGUGCAUUAGCUAGUUGGUGAGGUAACGGCUCACCAAGGCCACGAUGCAUAGCCGACCUGAGAGGGUGAUCGGCCACACUGGGACUGAGACACGGCCCAGACUCCUACGGGAGGCAGCAGUAGGGAAUCUUCGGCAAUGGACGAAAGUCUGACCGAGCAACGCCGCGUGAGUGAAGAAGGUUUUCGGAUCGUAAAACUCUGUUGUUAGGGAAGAACAAGGACGUUAGUAACUGAACGUCCCCUGACGGUAUCUAACCAGAAAGCCACGGCUAACUACGUG